rnacentral:tRNA from 1 species
GCAGGAGCGCCACCGGUGGUGAGGUGGGCCGGGUUGUAGCCCCGGUGCUCAGGCUUGGCAGGUUCGAAUCCUGUCUCCUGCA